rnacentral:lncRNA from 1 species
UCCCCUAAAAACUAAAUAUUUAUAUAACAUUUUUAUAUCAAUCAAUAUAUAAAAAUACCACAUUUCCAAUACUAAAUCAACAACCCGAUGCACACAUAUUACCUUCAGUUCACAUUCAGCAUCCAAUGGAUAUUACCUUGAAAAAGAAUACAGCGAAGUAGUUCAGAGCUUUUUAGAAAGCUAAAACUUAUAAUUUUCUUAAAUUUUCAAAGUGUAUAUCACUGAUGCGUUUUGUUUUAAUCUGUGUCA